rnacentral:lncRNA from 1 species
CGUUCAGAGACCUAGUGGCCCAUAAUGACUGUCAGAGUAACUUCAGUGAGGAUAAUUAAAGCACAGCAUAUUUUGUCCAUAUCCCUGAUUCCUCCUUGUUACCUUAUUCUCAGGAUACUGGAAGCUGUCAGACGGUGGAGGCUGGGUAUAAAGCUGCUCCUGUUGCUAUGUCAGUAAUAACAGUGAACUCAGCAAAUAAGAAGUACCUAACAGGACUAUACUCUCAUUUGGCUCUUACAAUAUGAAAAGAAUCAGAAAACAUUUAGAAGACAUGAUGACGCUGGGAUUUCAGUAGUUGGCAGCUUCAAUACUGUAAUAUUUUUGGCAGGUGGUAUCAGCUACAAGGCUACAUUCAUUGGGGCAAAAGUCAAAGGAGCUACAACAAGGAGAUAUAUCAAUAAACACAUAUUUGUUAGAUAUAUUACUGGGUUU